rnacentral:rRNA from 1 species
CUCGAGGAAUAUUGGUCAAUGGGCGACAAGCCUGAACCAGCCAUGCCGCGUGCAGGAUGAAGGCCCUCUGGGUUGUAAACUGCUUUAGCCGGGGAAAAAACCCCGCUACCUAUCACCCUUGUGACUGUCCUGUAAGAAUAAAUCGCAUCGUCAUAUCUCUCGAUG